rnacentral:rRNA from 1 species
AUUGAACGCUGGCGGCAGGCCUGACACAUGCAAGUCGAGCGGAUGAGGAAAGCUUGCUUUUCGAUUCAGCGGCGGACGGGUGAGUAAUGCCUAGGAAUCUGCCUGUUAGUGGGGGAUAACUCGGGGAAACUCGGGCUAAUACCGCAUACGUCCUACGGGAGAAAGUGGGGGAUCUUCGGACCUCACGCUAACAGAUGAGCCUAGGUCGGAUUAGCUAGUAGGUGAGGUAAUGGCUCGCCUAGGCGACGAUCCGUAACUGGUCUGAGAGGAUGAUCAGUCACACUGGAACUGAGACACGGUCCAGACUCCUACGGGAGGCAGCAGUGGGGAAUAUUGGACAAUGGGCGAAAGCCUGAUCCAGCCAUGCCGCGUGUGUGAAGAAGGUCUUCGGAUUGUAAAGCACUUUAAGUUGGGAGGAAGGGUAUUCACCUAAUACGUGGGUACUUUGACGUUACCAACAGAAUAAGCACCGGCUAACUCUGUGCCAGCAGCCGCCGCAGUAA